GUCAAAGGCUUUGGCAUAUUCAAUAAAGCAGAAGUAGAUGUUUUUCUGAAACUCUCUUGCUUUUUUGAUGAUCCAGCAGAUGUUGGCAAGUUGAUCUCUGGUUCCUCUGCCUUUUCUAAAUCCAACUUAUACAUCUGGAAGUUCACGCUUCACGUGCUGUUGAAACCCGGCUUGGAGAAUUUUGAGAAUUACUUUGCUAGCAUGUGAGAUCAGUGCAACUGCGUGGCAGUUUGAGUAUUCUUUGGUAUUGCCUUUCAUUGGGAUUGGAAUGAAAACUGACCUUUUCCAGUCCUGUGGCCACUGCUGAGUUUUCCAAAUUUGCUGGCAUAUUGAGUGCAGCACUUUCACAGCUUCAUCUUUUAGGAUUUGAACGAGCUCUACUGGAAUUCUAUCACCUUCACUAGCUUUGUUUGUAGUGAUGCUUCCUAAGGCCCAUUUGACUUCACAUUCCAGGAUGUCUGGCUCUAGCCAAUCACUCACACAACAACCACCCACUGCCCAACCACCACCACCACCACUGCCGAGAUGAUGCCCACAGCGGUGUUUCCAACAACAGUCAUGACUACACCUGACCUCACAACCACAAGACCACUUCAGAUGAGAGCUGCGCUCUCAGGCAUGGCCUCCACAUGCUUUCUGAGAAGCUCGCUUCCUGAGGAAGACACGACACUGCUGACCCUUGAGCCUUCCAACGAAGGGCCCAUCCUCCCCGCAGAAUCAGAAAGUGUCCUCCCCAGGACCUCUCAGUGAAGCACAGAGGCGAUUUCAGGAGACACUGCCUUGCUCACAUCCAAGGCUCCAACUACAACAACAACCACUACUCCAACAACGACCACCACUACUACUACUCAAAGAAAAACGACCAUGACUACUACACCUCCAAGAGAAACAACCGAGGCUAUUACUCCAACAACGACCGAAACUAAUCAGACAAAAUCUACUGCUUCAACAACCACCAUCACCACACUCCAAUGACAACCACCGCUGUUCCAAAAAUGACCACCACUACUACUCCAGUAACAACUGCCACCACUACUUCAACAAUCACGAUGAUCACCACUGUUCCAAUGACAACGAAGGCUUCUACCUCUGCUCUUCCAAUGGCAACACCCACAGAGGACUUCCAGCCAGAUGGGAAUGACACCGUGACAGAGUCUUCAGAUCCCCUUUGGCGUAGCUAUCAAGCUGGGCUGGUACAAGGUCCAUGGAUGAGCACCGACAAGGGAGUCUCCACUGGAAUCUCUGUUGCUGUCUUAGUAGUAUUGCUAAUAUUUGUGGUAUUCUAGAUUAACAAAAGUAAGUCACCUCAAGACUAUGCCCACAGGAGUAUUCUUGAGCCAAACUAUCUGUAGCCCUACAUUCCAUAUGAUUUUGGUUUCUCAUAACUUUCUUUGUUCUUACUUUGUUCUUUUUUAUUUUUAUUUAUCUUAAAAUUAUCUUCCCAGUGAAGAGAAACAUGAUACUUAAGUUCUCCAUGGGAGAAAUUAAAUAUGGAGAAUUAAGCAUUGGUUAGGUAGAGCUGGGAUUUGGAUAUCAACAAACCAGUGUAAUAUACAAGGUUUGUUCACUCCUCCUUUUCCCCUUUCUCCAAUAACCAAUUUUUGUUCCUAUAGGGGAUGAAAUUGCUGAGAGUUUUACAACACCCACUUAACAGAGGAACCAAAUGAGCCAUUGGGAGGAUACAUGAUUUCAGGGCUAAGAGGAGAACAAAGGGUUUCACAAGGCAGCCACCCAGGGCCUCCUGGUGUCCUUCCACCAGUGUGUGUGUGUGUGUGUGUGUGUGUGUGUGUGUGUGUGUGUAAAACCUGUCAUCUAUAGGAGAAACACAAUCUCCCAUUUUUUUACAGUGAAACAUGAUUGUAUUAAAGUAAGCUAGGGCAUGUGAGUGAAUGCAUUAACCCUAAUAAUCAUAAGAUACUUUCCACUAAGGGGUUUAUUUGGCUUCUAGAGAUUCAAGAAAAGUUAUCUGGAGUUAUCAAGGAAGAGCCCAGAUUGAUUUGUUUCCCCUUCAUUUUAAAAAUAUUCUUUCCUCUUAAUUAAUUUUUUCAGUGUCUGAUAUCUGUACCUAUUUUUCUCAUAUUAAGGUAAUAACAGUAAUAAUAUACUUAUUGGGGAAAAAAAUCUCAUGAACUCUUUAGCUUAUAUGUUUAAUUUUCUCUUCAUUUCUUAUCUAGUUUAGAAUAUCUUUGCCUGGGUAACAAGGUGGAGCCACUAUGCCACCAGUGUAAUCGAAGGAACCAGGAUCUGAUUGUGCUAUCGGAGUUGAAAAUCCUCCCACUGCUCCCCAGUGGGUACAAGUCCCUACUCCAUCCUAAGCCCCUCACAGUUUCUCCCAUGUCCACUUCAUGCAGCCCCUCCAUGCAGUGCUCUGGCAGAUAGAAAUGCCUCACAUACCCACUCUCCACUCUGUAGGUCAGCAUGUUUUGCGAAGAUGUUUGUCUCCUGUCUCUCCACCAGGCCAUCCCUCAAGGUUCAUCUCAGCCUUAGCCUCUUCACACUUUCUCACCUCAUCCCUUUAGACAGAAUGAUACCCUCCUCUGAACACUUUGGU
ensembl:lncRNA